UGGGGAAUAUUGGGCAAUGGGCGAAAGCCUGACCCAGCAACGCCGCGUGAAGGAAGAAGGCCCUCGGGUUGUAAACUUCUUUUAUCAGGGACGAAGAAGUGACGGUACCUGAUGAAUAAGCCACGGCUAACUACGUGCC
rnacentral:rRNA from 1 species